UUUAAACUCAUCUCAUGCGAGUUGAACCCGUGGGAUUUAGGGUUUGUUGUUCUUGAAGAAGGCUGAAGGAAGAAGGGCACGAUUUUGUCGGCUGUUGAGCGGUCUCUGCGGCGGCUGUGAAGAUGAACAACAAUGGUGUCGACGUGAUAGUGUGGCGCGGAAUAGGGUUAGGUGGUGGCUUUGGGUGGUCUGGCGAGAUGAGCAUGGUGGUUGGCCGUGACGGUGAGAUGGUUGAUGGCAAGACUAUGGUGG
rnacentral:sRNA from 1 species